AUUGAACGCUGGCGGCAGGCCUAACACAUGCAAGUCGAGCGAGCGGCGGUCGGGUGAGUAAUGCCUGGGAAUUGCCCAGUCGAGGGGGAUAACAGUUGGAAACGACUGCUAAUACCGCAUACGGCUGGCUUGCCCAGGUGGGAGUAGCUAGUUGGUGAGGUAAUGGCUCACCAAGGCGACGAUCCAUAGCUGGUCUGAGAGGAUGAGCAGCCACACUGGAACUGAGACACGGUCCAGACUCCUACGGGAGGCAGCAGUGGGGAAUAUUGCACAAGGGGGGAAAGCCUGAUGCAGCCAUGCCGCGUGAGUGAAGAAGGCCUUCGGGUUGUAAAGCACUUUCAGCGGGGAGGCGUUACCCGCAGAAGAAGCACCGGCUAACUCCGUGCCAGCAGCCGCGGUAAUUC
rnacentral:rRNA from 1 species